rnacentral:rRNA from 1 species
GACGAACGCUGGCGGCGUGCUUAACACAUGCAAGUCGAACGGAAAGGCCCUGCUUUUGUGGGGUGCUCGAGUGGCGAACGGGUGAGUAACACGUGAGUAACCUGCCCUUGACUUUGGGAUAACUUCAGGAAACUGGGGCUAAUACCGGAUAGGAGCUCCUGCUGCAUGGUGGGGGUUGGAAAGUUUCGGCGGUUGGGGAUGGACUCGCGGCUUAUCAGCUUGUUGGUGGGGUAGUGGCUUACCAAGGCUUUGACGGGUAGCCGGCCUGAGAGGGUGACCGGCCACAUUGGGACUGAGAUACGGCCCAGACUCCUACGGGAGGCAGCAGUGGGGAAUAUUGCACAAUGGGCGGAAGCCUGAUGCAGCAACGCCGCGUGCGGGAUGACGGCCUUCGGGUUGUAAACCGCUUUCGCCUGUGACGAAGCGUGAGUGACGGUAAUGGGUAAAGAAGCACCGGCUAACUACGUGCCAGCAGCCGCGGUGAUACGUAGGGUGCGAGCGUUGUCCGGAUUUAUUGGGCGUAAAGGGCUCGUAGGUGGUUGAUCGCGUCGGAAGUGUAAUCUUGGGGCUUAACCCUGAGCGUGCUUUCGAUACGGGUUGACUUGAGGAGGGUAGGGGAGAAUGGAAUUCCUGGUGGAGCGGUGGAAUGCGCAGAUAUCAGGAGGAACACCAGUGGCGAAGGCGGUUCUCUGGGCCUUUCCUGACGCUGAGGAGCGAAAGCGUGGGGAGCGAACAGGCUUAGAUACCCUGGUAGUCCACGCUGUAAACGGUGGGUACUAGGUGUGGGGUCCAUUCCACGGGUUCCGUGCCGUAGCUAACGCUUUAAGUACCCCGCCUGGGGAGUACGGCCGCAAGGCUAAAACUCAAAGGAAUUGACGGGGCCCCGCACAAGCGGCGGAGCAUGCGGAUUAAUUCGAUGCAACGCGUAGAACCUUACCUGGGUUUGACAUGGAUCGGGAGUGCUCAGAGAUGGGUGUGCCUCUUUUGGGGUCGGUUCACAGGUGGUGCAUGGCUGUCGUCAGCUCGCGUCGUGAGAUGUUGGGUUAAGUCCCGCAACGAGCGCAACCCUUGUUCACUGUUGCCAGCACGUUAUGGUGGGGACUCAGUGGAGACCGCCGGGGUCAACUCGGAGGAAGGUGGGGAUGACGUCAAGUCAUCAUGCCCCUUAUGUCCAGGGCUUCACGCAUGCUACAAUGGCUGGUACAGAGAGUGGCGAGCCUGUGAGGGUGAGCGAAUCUCGGAAAGCCGGUCUCAGUUCGGAUUGGGGUCUGUAACUCGACCUCAUGAAGUCGGAGUCGCUAGUAAUCGCAGAUCAGCAACGCUGCGGUGAAUACGUUCCCGGG